GCCAGGUGCUGACCCCUUUCUCGAAGGAGAUUAAUAUCAAUGGGACUAUUUUCCCUACACAAGGAGAGUCUGCAUAAUGAGAGGAGCAAAAGAAGUUGUUUGUUCACAGAACUUGCAGAAGUCUCAAGCCCCUUCUUCAGAUGAGCGCAUUCCUCUGAUGUUGAACCUUCUAGGACAUCAAGCUCCAGGAGGUGAACGGUGAAUUACCCUGGUGAUGGGUGCUAUUUGGAGGCGUAUACUGCUGUAAUGAGAAUGUACCAUGGUUCCCCUUGAAGUAAGACAUUGGCUAUUGCUGGUAGUUACUGCCUUGCAAAGUAUUAAUGUUCGGUUAUAGCGCAGUCAUGUAGGAAAAUUAUAGAUGCCUACAGGGUGUUACUUAGCAACACUCGGUAUUGUUGAGUUAGUA
rnacentral:lncRNA from 1 species